AGAGUUUGAUCCUGGCUCAGGACGAACGCUGGCGGCGUGCCUAACACAUGCAAGUCGAGCGAUUCUCUUCGGAGAAGAGCGGCGGACGGGUGAGUAACGCGUGGGUAACCUGCCCUGUACACACGGAUAACAUACCGAAAGGUAUGCUAAUACGGGAUAACAUAUUUUGAUGGCAUCAUCGAAAUAUCAAAGCUCCGGCGGUACAGGAUGGACCCGCGUCUGAUUAGCUAGUUGGUGAGGUAAUGGCUCACCAAGGCGACGAUCAGUAGCCGACCUGAGAGGGUGAUCGGCCACAUUGGAACUGAGACACGGCCCAGACUCCUACGGGAGGCAGCAGUGGGGAAUAUUGCACAAUGGGCAAAAGCCUGAUGCAGCAACGCCGCGUGAGCGAUGAAGGCCUUCGGGUCGUAAAGCUCUGUCCUCAAGGAAGAUAAUGACGGUACUUGAGGAGGAAGCCCCGGCUAACUACGUGCCAGCAGCCGCGGCAAUACGUAGGGGGCUAGCGUUAUCCGGAAUUACUGGGCGUAAAGGGUGCGUAGGUGGUUUUUUAAGUCAGAAGUGAAAGGCUACGGCUCAACCGUAGUAAGCUUUUGAAACUGAGAAACUUGAGUGCAGGAGAGGAGAGUAGAAUUCCUAGUGUAGCGGUGAAAUGCGUAGAUAUUAGGAGGAAUACCAGUUGCGAAGGCGGCUCUCUGGACUGUAACUGACACUGAGGCACGAAAGCGUGGGGAGCAAACAGGAUUAGAUACCCUGUUAGUCCACGCCGUAAACGAUGAGUACUAGGUGUCGGGGGUUACCCCCCUCGGUGCCGCAGCUAACGCAUUAAGUACUCCGCCUGGGAAGUACGCUCGCAAGAGUGAAACUCAAAGGAAUUGACGG
rnacentral:rRNA from 1 species